UGGCAGAGGUUACUGCUAUCGGUGUUCGCCUAAGCCAUGCGAGUCAUAUGUAGCAAUACAUGGCGUACUGCUCAGUAACACGUGGAUAACCUGCCCUUGGGACCGGCAUAACCCCGGGAAACUGGGGAUAAUUCCGGAUAACGCAUAUUUGCUGGAAUGCUUUAUGCGUCAAAAGGAUUCGUCUGCCCAAGGAUGGGUCUGCGGCCUAUCAGGUAGUAGUGGGUGUAAUGUACCUACUAGCCAGCGACGGGUACGGGUUGUGAGAGCAAGAGCCCGGAGAUGGAUUCUGAGACACGAAUCCAGGCCCUACGGGGCGCAGCAGGCGCGAAAACUUUACAAUGCGGGAAACCGUGAUAAGGGGACACCGAGUGCCAGCAUCAUAUGCUGGCUGUCCGGAUGUGUAAAAUACAUCCGUUAGCAAGGGCCGGGCAAGACCGGUGCCAGCCGCCGCGGUAACACCGGCGGCCCGAGUGGUGAUCGCGAUUAUUGGGUCUAAAGGGUCCGUAGCCGGUUUGGUCAGUCCUCCGGGAAAUCUGAUAGCUCAACUAUUAGGCUUUCGGGGGAUACUGCCAGACUUGGAACCGGGAGAGGUAAGAGGUACUACAGGGGUAGGAGUGAAAUCUUGUAAUCCCUGUGGGACCACCUGUGGCGAAGGCGUCUUACCAGAACGGGUUCGACGGUGAGGGACGAAAGCUGGGGGCACGAACCGGAUUAGAUACCCGGGUAGUCCCAGCCGUAAACGAUGCUCGCUAGGUGUCAGGCAUGGCGCGACCGUGUCUGGUGCCGCAGGGAAGCCGUGAAGCGAGCCACCUGGGAAGUACGGCCGCAAGGCUGAAACUUAA
rnacentral:rRNA from 1 species